UUUGGCAGCACAUAUGCAAAAAAAAAAUGGAACUAUACAGAAGAUACAGAGAAGAUCAGUAUGGUCCCUAGGCAAGGAUGACACACAAAUUCGUGAAGCAUUCCAUUAAAAG